rnacentral:misc_RNA from 1 species
GAUGAAGAACGCAGCGAAAUGCGAUAAGUAGUGUGAAUUGCAGAAUUCAGUGAAUCAUCGAAUCUUUGAACGCACAUUGCGCCCCUUGGUAUUCCAUGGGGCAUGCCUGUUCGAGCGUCAUUUGUACCUUCAAGCUUUGCUUGGUGUUGGGUGUUUGUCCUGAGGGACUCGCCUUAAAGUGAUUGGCAGCCAGUGUUUGGUUUUGAAGCGCAGCACAAGUCGCGAUUCAAAGCUAUACGCCCGCUUCCACAAGCCUUUUUCACUUUUGACCUCGGAUCAGGUAGGACUACCCGCUGAACUUAAGCAUAUCAAUAAGCGGAGGA